rnacentral:rRNA from 1 species
UACAGAGGGGGCAAGCGUUAUUCGGAAUUAUUGGGCGUAAAGGGCGCGUAGGCGGCGUGGUAAGUCACUUGUGAAAUCUCUGAGCUUAACUCAGAACGGUCAAGUGAUACUGCUGUGCUAGAGUGCGGUAGGGGCAAUCGGAAUUCUCGGUGUAGCGGUGAAAUGCGUAGAUAUCGAGAGGAACACCUGAGGUGAAGACGGGUUGCUGGGCCGACACUGACGCUGAGUGCGCGAAAGCCAGGGGAGCAAACGGG